rnacentral:rRNA from 1 species
AUCAGCCUUUUCGGGUGCGAUUCUGUGGGGUUUGAUGAGCUUAACACCUUCAUGCUCUGCAUAUUCGUGCUCUUGGGUGUACUUGCCCGUGUGGUUGGUUAACAUCAAUUUUGGUGGUCAUAAAAUGACUGGAGGAAUGUAGCUUCGAUCUUGUAUUGAAGUGUUAUAGCCUUCGGUAGAUGUGAUGAUCGAGAUUGAGGAUUGCAACGGAUACCCUUCGGGGCUACCUGUCUGAUCUCUGAUCGUUGCUCUGGUGCCGAAAGCUUGCUUACGGUUAUCAAAGUCGAUGGUCAAUAGGUUAGAAUGGGUUAAAUUCGUUAAGGAUGUUGACGUAAUGGCUUU